GCCUUCGUGGUGUAGUGGUUAGCACACUCGAAGCGUAACUGAGAGGUCCGUGGUUCGAUUCCCGUGAAGGCG
rnacentral:tRNA from 1 species